UAGAGUUUGAUUCUGGCUCAGGAUGAACGCUAGCGGCAGGCCUAACACAUGCAAGUCGAGGGGUAGAACACUUCGGUGUUUGAGACCGGCGCACGGGUGCGUAACGCGUAUGCAAUCUACCUUGUACAGGGGAAUAGCCCAGAGAAAUUUGGAUUAAUGCCCCAUAGUAUAUAACCUUCGCAUGUUGGUUAUAUUAAAGUUCCAACGGUACAAGAUGAGCAUGCGUCCCAUUAGUUAGUUGGUAAGGUAACGGCUUACCAAGACGAUGAUGGGUAGGGGUCCUGAGAGGGAGAUCCCCCACACUGGUACUGAGACACGGACCAGACUCCUACGGGAGGCAGCAGUGAGGAAUAUUGGUCAAUGGUCGCAAGACUGAACCAGCCAUGCCGCGUGCAGGAAGACGGUCCUAUGGAUUGUAAACUGCUUUUAUACAGGAAGAAACCCUCCCACGUGUGGGAGCUUGACGGUACUGUAGGAAUAAGGAUCGGCUAACUCCGUGCCAGCAGCCGCGGUAAUACGGAGGAUCCAAGCGUUAUCCGGAAUCAUUGGGUUUAAAGGGUCCGUAGGCGGUCUUAUAAGUCAGUGGUGAAAGCCCAUCGCUCAACGAUGGAACUGCCAUUGAUACUGUAAGACUUGAAUGCUUAGGAAGUAACUAGAAUAUGUAGUGUAGCGGUGAAAUGCUUAGAUAUUACAUGGAAUACCAAUUGCGAAGGCAGGUUACUACUAAGUGAUUGACGCUGAUGGACGAAAGCGUGGGGAGCGAACAGGAUUAGAUACCCUGGUAGUCCACGCCGUAAACGAUGGAUACUAGCUGUUCGGCGCAAGUUGAGUGGCUAAGCGAAAGUGAUAAGUAUCCCACCUGGGGAGUACGCACGCAAGUGUGAAACUCAAAUGAAUUGACGGGG
rnacentral:rRNA from 1 species